CCUACGGGAGACAGCAGUGAGGAAUAUUGGUCAAUGGACGAGAGUCUGAACCAGCCAAGUAGCGUGAAGGAUGACUGCCCUAUGGGUUGUAAACUUCUUUUAUAUGGGAAUAAAACGUUCCACGUGUGGGAUUUUGUAUGUACCAUAUGAAUAAGGAUCGGCUAACUCCGUGCCAGCAGCCGCGGUAAUACGGAGGAUCCGAGCGUUAUCCGGAUUUAUUGGGUUUAAAGGGAGCGUAGGUGGAUUGUUAAGUCAGUUGUGAAAGUUUGCGGCUCAACCGUAAAAUUGCAGUUGAAACUGGCAGUCUUGAGUACAGUAGAGGUGGGCGGAAUUCGUGGUGUAGCGGUGAAAUGCUUAGAUAUCACGAAGAACUCCGAUUGCGAAGGCAGUUCACUGAACUGCAACUGACACUGAGGCUCGAAAGUGUGGGUAUCAAACAGGAUUAGAUACCCGGGUAGUC
rnacentral:rRNA from 1 species